GGGGGAUUUUCCGUCCGCGGGGAAACUUGUUAAAUGGUGUUGUGUUGUUGGCCGAGUCACUUAGUGCUCUCCAAUCCGUCUUCAAUGACACAAUGAGCAAAGGCAUAAGGAACUUGGUGUCAAAACGAAAGAGAAGAUUCAAAGAAGAUGGGUACGACUUGGAUCUUAGCUAUAUCACAGAUCGACUUAUUGCUAUGGGCUUCCCUGCUCAGAAGUUGGAGGGUGUGUACAGAAACCAUAUUGACGAUGUUUCCCGCUUCCUAGAAGAGAGGCACAAGGACCACUAUAGAAUAUAUAAUUUGUGCUCAGAAAGAAAUAGAUCAUAUGAUGUCACAAGAUUUCACAAUCGGGUCAGAAAUUUUCCAUUUGCUGACCACAACCCACCGCCUCUUAUUGACAUUGAACCGCUAUGCAAAGACAUGGCGGAUUGGCUGGCUGCAGACUCCAGGAAUGUGGCUGUUGUACAUUGUAAGGCAGGAAAGGGUCGAACAGGUGUCAUGAUUUGCUGCUAUCUCCUUCACUGCCGUUCCAAGAGCUUAGCGCAAGAAGCACUUGAUUUUUAUGGAGAUAAGAGAACUUUUGAUAGAAAGGGUGUAACUAUACCUAGCCAAAGAAGAUAUGUGGACUACUAUGCCAAACUAGUCAACUCAAACUUUAAUUAUAAUCCACCUUACGUACGCCUUAGGGAAGCUGUAAUGAAUGCACCGCUAUCCAGUGUGAACUCAGAGGUGUUCCUUGUUGUGAGCUCUCACAGUAACAAAAAGGGCUAUAACUCCCACCCAGCAGAAGUGAAAAAAGGGAAGGAAAUGAUUCAACUUGUAGUAAAAGAUGAAGUGGCCCGACCUAUCCAAGGAGAUAUCAAGAUUGAGCUCAAAAGAACAAACUUUGUCAGAAGAACGGACAAGCUGUUUAGUGCUUGGUUAAAUACGCACUUUAUAUUUGAAGAAGGAAAGAAAGUAACCAAUGGGUGUCAGAUAACAGCAUCAGACCAAAAUAACCACAACAACACAUGCAACACACAAAAUAGACACAGUGUAUGUGGUGGGGCUCGAGACUCCUGGGAAGACUCAAAAAAGGGAGAGCAGGAAGUGCUGGUGGUCCUCACCAAGAACGAGCUAGACAAGGCCAACAAAGAUACGCAUCACAAAUUGUUACCAGAAGACUUUAGGAUAAAACUAUGGUGGCUGGUUACAUAUGUUAACAAGGGAGGGAGCAAUGCCUUAGAGUCUCGGGAAAGUGGCUCAACCCCAAGCACGAUCACGCCCUCUGGUUCCUCAUCCGACACGGAUGAUGACGAUGACGAUGACGAAGAAGAGGGAAGUGACUGGGACUCAGAUGGCCACUGCCCAGAGCGCUACGUGGGUCGUUAUCGGCUCAUGUCGGAUUGUUCAGCUGCUCACCCGAAUCAUUACACGAUGCCGGAGGGCCCCACAUGACCCUAGCCCCCCCCCACUUCCACACAUCUUGCUUCCCUAUGACACAAACAUGAACUACAACCCGCGAGUCCACCCACUUGUGAGCGCACGAAGCUUUGGCUGAGUAUUUUGGCUUGGCAAUGCGUACCUGACCCACCGGAACUGAUGCAUGUAGCAUUUCCCGUUCACAAUCUUAGGGCAGUGCUGGUCAUCCCUUACCCACUUUAUGCAGUCUACGACAAAGUUCAGGUCAUCUGUGAUGGAUGGCUGUAUGAAAAUGUAUAUUAUUUUCAUGGAUAAGUAGAUUUCCUAUACUCUGAUGUAUAGGGAUUAAGUUCAGUUGGCCACAGUCUUCAGUUUUCAAUUUGUAACAACUUUUAUUGGAGUGCAAAUGCAUGUUAAUAGAAAAUGAAGGCUGAAGACUGCAUUUUAAAGCUGCCAUGGAAGUUGCUCUGAAAUGAACAAGUUAAGUAUAGGUCUAAAGUUUGGAUUUUUUUUUCUAUGAUUGAUAUCAGAAGAUUCAUGAUUUUAGAAAUUUUCAUAUGACUUCCAGAUUUUAUGAAUAAGAGAAAGAUCAACAAGAGAGUGCUUGUGUAUCUGUAAAUACAAAAAUCGGCUAAUAUGCCUCACAAAAGAAAAGUAAUUUAUUAAUGUACAUUAAACAAUACUCCUUGAUCUCGUUUUGUGACAGUUCAGGUGUUAUUACAUUUAUUCUUAGAGUAGCAGAUGUUUGAAGUGUAGGAAAAAAGGUAUAUUUUUCGCAUAACUUUAUAAAACAAAAAUAAAAAGAUAAAAAAAUGGAAUAAAUACACAGCAUGUUUAACAAGUAGCUCCAUUUCUACAGUUUACCUUAUGAAUAUCAGAUUGAGCAACUUGUAACUGAAUGUAAAGUACAGAAUUAUUUGCUUUGUGGUAGAAAAUUUUAGGAAUGUUUGAAGAGUUUAUUUUUCAUAUUUUAUCAUCUAUCAUCCCCUCUGCUCUGUGUUCUCUAUGAAAGUGCAGUACGUAGCAAUAAGUUUGCUUAUAGCAUAGAUUAAAUGAUAUGGAUAGUGAAUAAUGGCAGUUAGGGGAUAAUACAGGGAUGAUUAAUAUUAGGUUGUUUCUUGGUAGCAAACUUAGCCAAUUUCACAGUUUGACACGGCUGAGGCUUAUUAUUUGUAGUGUACAGGAUAUACCAUGACAUGUGCAGUUGCUUAGGCCAGUAUCAAGCACUGCAUUUUAUUUUUGCAUAUUUGUUGAAAUAAUGUAAUUUUAUUCAUCUGUUAUACAAAUGCCCAUAUGUUGCCAAAGGCAUAGAUGUUUAUUUGCAGUGCAAAUUGCCUGCAACCAUAUUCCAACCCGGUAUAUGGGCCAUCUGGGGAUGUUAAACUGACCUUUUAUUAAAAGAAGAAAAAAAGAUGAUACCUAAGGUAUGAAUUCAUGGUAACAUUAUUUUUAAAAUGUAUAAAAAACUUUUAUCAGUUUUGUUGUAGUGAUGCUAAAAGCUUUUUUUUCUUUUAUCUAAUUUAUGCUGUGGGAAAGUUUGUCACACAAGCUUUCUAAAUGGCAUAAGGAAUAUCAAUAUGCCUGAAAGGAUUAGGCAUUGAUAAGUGUUGAGUUAGAGAAAAGAUUCUAAUGUAGUCAUUUUUUUAUUUUCUUUUAUUUUUUACUCAGUUUCACUGUAGUUUACAUUAGAAAAGUACAAACUAUAAUUAGAGUUACAGUAAUUAGAAAUAGUAUCUUGCAUUUAAAUUGUAAUUAAUUUAUCUGUUGGCAGGCAUUAUGGUAAUAUGUGGAAGUGAUGUAUUUUAAAGGGGUUUCAUUUUCAUUUGUAUAUAAAUCUAUUUUUAUUUUUUGUUAAUUAUUAGUCUGAAAUAAUAUUGUAGACGAUAAAAUGACUUACUUGUACCACAUGACACCAAAGAUGUACAUUAUUCCCAGGCAUCACUCACAAAGACUUGUUUCCAUUGUGUAAUAUCAGCCACUCAAAUAGGACAUGUUGUCAAAUCUAUUUUUGGUUUUCAUGAAUAUUUGGAAAUGAAAGGUCAAAAAAAGAAUAAAAUCAUAGAAUCUCUACAAAAAGAAAAAGAAUGGUUAAUAUCAGGUAGAAAUGUUGUGACCAUGUACCAGUAAGCAAAAAAGCAAGCCAGUGGUGAUAGGUGGCAAUCAAGUCUCAUUUUGACUGGCAGAUAUGCCACUUAUGACAUAAGUUUCAGCAUCUUCAUUCAUGUACAACCUGGGAAACUGGAACUCCUAUUGUAAGAGGAAUAUUUUUUUUUCUCCAAAUUUGAUGUUACAACUUUUGCCCCUGUGGAGACAGAUAUUUUCUGUUGAAUAAAAAAAUACACAGAACAAGUUCAUAAUUUCAGGAAGAUUAUACUCCUUUACUAGAACCUUAAAUAAUAAUAAUAAUACUUUA
rnacentral:misc_RNA from 1 species